GGCGUCUUCGACGUCCGAGUUGUAAUUUGAAGAAGGCGACUUUGUAGCUGGUCCUUGUCUAUGUUCCUUGGAACAGGACGUCAUAGAGGGUGAGAAUCCCGUGUGGCGAGGAUCCCAGUUAUUUGUAAAGUGCUUUCGACGAGUCGAGUUGUUUGGGAAUGCAGCUCUAAGUGGGUGGUAAAUUCCAUCUAAAGCUAAAUAUUGGCGAGAGACCGAUAGCGAACAAGUACAGUGAUGGAAAGAUGAAAAGAACUUUGAAAAGAGAGUGAAAAAGUACGUGAAAUUGUUGAAAGGGAAGGGCAUUUGAUCAGACAUGGCGUUUGCUUCGGCUUUCGCUGGGCCAGCAUCAGUUUUAGCGGUUGGAUAAAUCCUCGGGAAUGUGGCUCUGCUUCGGUAGAGUGUUAUAGCCCGUGGGA
rnacentral:rRNA from 1 species